rnacentral:rRNA from 1 species
GUUAUAUGGUCAAGUGAAGAAGCGCAUACGGUGGAUGCCUUGGCAGUCAGAGGCGAUGAAAGACGUGGUAGCCUGCGAAAAGCUUCGGGGAGUCGGCAAACAGACUGUGAUCCGGAGAUAUCUGAAUGGGGGAACCCAGCCAUCAUAAGAUGGUUAUCUUGUACUGAAUACAUAGGUGCAAGAGGCGAACCAGGGGAACUGAAACAUCUAAGUACCCUGAGGAAAAGAAAUCAACCGAGAUUCCCUUAGUAGUGGCGAGCGAACGGGGACCAGCCCUUAAGUUGUAUUGAGAUUAGCGGAACGUUCUGGAAAGGACGGCCAUAGUGGGUGAUAGCCCUGUACGCGAAAAUCCCUUUGCAAUGAAAUCGAGUAGGACGGGGCACGAGAAACCUUGUCUGAAUAUGGGGGGACCAUCCUCCAAGGCUAAAUACUACUGACUGACCGAUAGUGAACCAGUACCGUGAGGGAAAGGCGAAAAGAACCGCGGAGAGCGGAGUGAAAUAGAUCCUGAAACCGUAUGCGUACAAGCAGUGGGAGCCCACUUUGUUGGGUGACUGCGUACCUUUUGUAUAAUGGGUCAGCGACUUAUUUUCAGUGGCGAGCUUAACCGAAUAGGGGAGGCGUAGCGAAAGCGAGUCUUAAUAGGGCGUCUAGUCGCUGGGAAUAGACCCGAAACCGGGCGAUCUAUCCAUGGGCAGGUUGAAGGUUGGGUAACACUAACUGGAGGACCGAACCGACUACCGUUGAAAAGUUAGCGGAUGACCUGUGGAUCGGAGUGAAAGGCUAAUCAAGCUCGGAGAUAGCUGGUUCUCCUCGAAAGCUAUUUAGGUAGCGCCUCAUGUAUCACUGUAGGGGGUAGAGCACUGUUUCGGCUAGGGGGUCAUCCCGACUUACCAAACCGAUGCAAACUCCGAAUACCUACAAGUGCCGAGCAUGGGAGACACACGGCGGGUGCUAACGUCCGUCGUGAAAAGGGAAACAACCCAGACCGUCAGCUAAGGUCCCAAAGUCAUGGUUAAGUGGGAAACGAUGUGGGAAGGCUUAGACAGCUAGGAGGUUGGCUUAGAAGCAGCCACCCUUUAAAGAAAGCGUAAUAGCUCACUAGUCGAGUCGGCCUGCGCGGAAGAUGUAACGGGGCUCAAACCAUGCACCGAAGCUACGGGUAUCAUCUUUUGAUGAUGCGGUAGAGGAGCGUUCUGUAAGCCUGUGAAGGUGAGUUGAGAAGCUUGCUGGAGGUAUCAGAAGUGCGAAUGCUGACAUGAGUAACGACAAUGGGUGUGAAAAACACCCACGCCGAAAGACCAAGGUUUCCUGCGCAACGUUAAUCGACGCAGGGUUAGUCGGUCCCUAAGGCGAGGCUGAAAAGCGUAGUCGAUGGAAAACAGGUUAAUAUUCCUGUACUUCUGGUUAUUGCGAUGGAGGGACGGAGAAGGCUAGGCCAGCCUGGCGUUGGUUGUCCAGGUUUAAGGUGGUAGGCUGAGAUCUUAGGUAAAUCCGGGAUCUCAAGGCCGAGAGCUGAUGACGAGUGUUCUUUAGAACACGAAGUGGUUGAUGCCAUGCUUCCAAGAAAAGCUUCUAAGCUUCAGGUAACCAGGAACCGUACCCCAAACCGACACAGGUGGUUGGGUAGAGAAUACCAAGGCGCUUGAGAGAACUCGGGUGAAGGAACUAGGCAAAAUGGCACCGUAACUUCGGGAGAAGGUGCGCCGGUGAGGGUGAAGCAUUUACUGCGUAAGCCCAUGCCGGUCGAAGAUACCAGGCCGCUGCGACUGUUUAUUAAAAACACAGCACUCUGCAAACACGAAAGUGGACGUAUAGGGUGUGACGCCUGCCCGGUGCCGGAAGGUUAAUUGAUGGGGUUAGCGCAAGCGAAGCUCUUGAUCGAAGCCCCGGUAAACGGCGGCCGUAACUAUAACGGUCCUAAGGUAGCGAAAUUCCUUGUCGGGUAAGUUCCGACCUGCACGAAUGGCGUAACGAUGGCGGCGCUGUCUCCACCCGAGACUCAGUGAAAUUGAAAUCGCUGUGAAGAUGCAGUGUAUCCGCGGCUAGACGGAAAGACCCCGUGAACCUUUACUAUAGCUUUGCACUGGACUUUGAAUUUGCUUGUGUAGGAUAGGUGGGAGGCUUUGAAGCGUGGACGCCAGUCUGCGUGGAGCCAACCUUGAAAUACCACCCUGGCAACUUUGAGGUUCUAACUCAGGUCCGUUAUCCGGAUCGAGGACAGUGUAUGGUGGGUAGUUUGACUGGGGCGGUCUCCUCCUAAAGAGUAACGGAGGAGUACGAAGGUGCGCUCAGACCGGUCGGAAAUCGGUCGUAGAGUAUAAAGGCAAAAGCGCGCUUGACUGCGAGACAGACACGUCGAGCAGGUACGAAAGUAGGUCUUAGUGAUCCGGUGGUUCUGUAUGGAAGGGCCAUCGCUCAACGGAUAAAAGGUACUCCGGGGAUAACAGGCUGAUACCGCCCAAGAGUUCAUAUCGACGGCGGUGUUUGGCACCUCGAUGUCGGCUCAUCACAUCCUGGGGCUGAAGCCGGUCCCAAGGGUAUGGCUGUUCGCCAUUUAAAGUGGUACGCGAGCUGGGUUUAGAACGUCGUGAGACAGUUCGGUCCCUAUCUGCCGUGGACGUUUGAGAUUUGAGAGGGGCUGCUCCUAGUACGAGAGGACCGGAGUGGACGAACCUCUGGUGUUCCGGUUGUCACGCCAGUGGCAUUGCCGGGUAGCUAUGUUCGGAAAAGAUAACCGCUGAAAGCAUCUAAGCGGGAAACUUGCCUCAAGAUGAGAUCUCACUGGAACCUUGAGUUCCCUAAAGGGCCGUCGAAGACUACGACGUUGAUAGGUUGGGUGUGUAAGCGCUGUGAGGCGUUGAGCUAACCAAUACUAAUUGCCCGUGAGGCUUGACCAUAUAACACCCAAGCAAUU